rnacentral:rRNA from 1 species
AGAGCGAACGCUGGCGGCAGGCCUAACACAUGCAAGUCGAGCGCCCGUAGCAAUACGGGAGCGGCAGACGGGAUAGUAACACGUGGGAACGCGCCCUUCGGUUCGGAAUAACUCAGGGAAACUUGAGCUAAUACCGGAUACGCCCUUACGGGGAAAGAUUUAUUGCCGAAGGAACGGCCCGCGUCCGAUUAGCUAGUUGGUGAGGUAAUGGCUCACCAAGGCGACGAUCGGUAGCUGGUCUGAGAGGACGACCAGCCACACUGGGACUGAGACACGGCCCAGACUCCUACGGGAGGCAGCAGUGAGGAAUUUCGCAAUGGCGAAAGCCUGACGGAGCGACGCCGCGUGCACGAGGAAGGCCUUCGGGUCGUAAACUGCUUUUCGUCGGGGAAGAGACGGACGGUACCCGAGGAAUCAGCCCGGCUAACUACGUGCCAGCAGCCGC